rnacentral:rRNA from 1 species
AUUGAACGCUGGCGGCAGGCCUAACACAUGCAAGUCGAGCGAGCGGCGGACGGGUGAGUAAUGUCUGGGGAACUGCCCGAUGGAGGGGGAUAACUACUGGAAACGGUAGCUAAUACCGCAUACUAUCAGAUGAGCCCAUAUGGGAUUAGCUAGUAGGUGAGGUAAUGGCUCACCUAGGCGACGAUCCCUAGCUGGUCUGAGAGGAUGAUCAGCCACACUGGGACUGAGACACGGCCCAGACUCCUACGGGAGGCAGCAGUGGGGAAUAUUGCACAAUGGGCGCAAGCCUGAUGCAGCCAUGCCGCGUGUAUGAAGAAGGCCUUCGGGUUGUAAAGCACUUUCAGCCGGGAGGCGUUACCGACAGAAGAAGCACCGGCUAACUCCGUGCCAGCCGCCGCGGUAAUAC